CAUCCCACGUCAAAAUUUAUUAUUUCUUAAGAGCUGCGACCCCGAAUAGCAGGUGACUAAACUAAAACAUUUAAUCGAAACCGAACACCACGUCAUUCAGGAUCAAAUUAUCAAGAUACAACUUAUACGAAUGGUCUGAUAAGGGAAGAUGUACUAAUAAAAUGAAAUAAAGCCAAAGGUCAACCCGGAAUGUCGUUUAAAUAUUUACUUGAUGAAGAUGUGGCAAAGAAGCUAUCACUGUGACUAUUAUAGCGAUGAAAUACACAGAGGUGAAACUGAAAACAGGAUUAACAGAAACUAUCAGGAUGGGAAUAGCCAAAAUCAAAGAGAGGAAACAUAGCACACCUGAUCACGCUCAAACUAUCAUCAGACCCUCAACUGCUCGGGGAGACCAAUGCAACCACAAAACCGACCUCAGCAAUCACCCCAAGAAUGCUACCAAGGACGAAGCGAAUAAGCAAGCAAAUAGCAUGCAUUAACCCCGUUAGCAAAAGAAGAAGAGGAAGAAGUAAAGACGGAAAGGGCCAGCCACCGUAUUGUCUACAAAAACACUCAUUCGCUGUACCAGAUCCAGUAACCAAUCAUUCAUAGAAGAUAAGACAACAUCCCUUUAUCACAUGCUCGACUAGGAAUUGGAAAUUUAAGUUCGGUACUAAGAACCGAAAACACAUCGGCAAAGAAAAGUCAAUCAAUCAAGGGAAAGAAAUCAGCAUCAUGAGCAGCAACAGCAAAGUGUCGUCACUCAGUCAUGAUCGCAAAAGGUAUCUUAAAAUAGAAAUAACCAGAGGAUCAACGGGCUACAUCAGAAUACAAUUAAGCAUACAAUCAAAUAUGCAAUCAAGUGCGACAAGAAAAAACCACCCAGGUGGCUCCCAUGAUCAGCCCAAUUCCAAGUGGCAGAACU